rnacentral:rRNA from 1 species
AGGAUAAACGCUGGCGGCGUGCAUGAGACAUGCAAGUCGAACGGACGAUCAGGGCUUGCUCUGAUCGUUAGUGGCGGACGGCUGAGUAACGCGUAGGUGACCUGCCCCGAAGUGGGGAAUAACUGCCCGAAAGGGUGGCUAAUACCGCAUGUGGUGGUGCCUUCACUGGCAUCAGUAAAGCCGCAAGGCGCUUCGGGAGGGGCCUGCGUCCGAUUAGCUCGUUGGUGGGGUAACGGCUCACCAAGGCGACGAUCGGUAGGUGGUCUGAGAGGACGAUCACCCAGACUGGGACUGAGACACGGCCCAGACUCCUACGGGAGGCAGCAGUCGGGAAUUUUGCGCAAUGGACGAAAGUCUGACGCAGCAACGCCGCGUGAGGGAUGACGGCCUUCGGGUUGUAACCUCUUUGUCAGGGACGAUGAUGACGGUACCGUGACGAAUAAGUCACGGCUAACUACGUGCCAGCAGCCGC